ACUCCUACGGGAGGCAGCAGUAAGGAAUAUUGGUCAAUGGACGCAAGUCUGAACCAGCUAUGCCGCGUGAAGGAUGAAGGUCCUCUGGAUUGUAAACUUCUUUUAUCUGGGACGAAAAAAGGGCUUUCUAGCUCACUUGACGGUACCAGAGGAAUAAGCACCGGCUAACUCCGUGCCAGCAGCCGCGGUAAUACGGAGGGUGCAAGCGUUAUCCGGAUUCACUGGGUUUAAAGGGUGCGUAGGUGGGCAGGUAAGUCAGUGGUGAAAUCUCCGAGCUUAACUCGGAAACUGCCAUUGAUACUAUCUGUCUUGAAUUAUCUGGAGGUGAGCGGAAUAUGUCAUGUAGCGGUGAAAUGCUUAGAUAUGACAUAGAACACCAAUUGCGAAGGCAGCUCACUACGGAUAUAUUGACACUGAGGCACGAAAGCGUGGGGAUCAAACAGGAUUAGAUACCCUGGUAGUCCACGCCCUAAACGAUGGAUACUCGACAUCAGCGAUACACUGUUGGUGUCUGAGCGAAAGCAUUAAGUAUCCCACCUGGGAAGUACGAUCGCAAGAUUGAAACUUAAAGGAAUUGACGG
rnacentral:rRNA from 1 species